rnacentral:rRNA from 1 species
GCAGGGGAUCGCAAGACCUUGCGCUGAUUGAGCGGCCGAUAUCAGAUUAGCUAGUUGGUGAGGUAAAGGCUCACCAAGGCGACGAUCUGUAGCGGGUCUGAGAGGAUGAUCCGCCACACUGGAACUGAGACACGGUCCAGACUCCUACGGGAGGCAGCAGUGGGGAAUUUUGGACAAUGGGGGCAACCCUGAUCCAGCCAUGCCGCGUGAGUGAAGAAGGCCUUCGGGUUGUAAAGCUCUUUCGGCCGGGAAGAAAUCGUAUGGGUUAAUACCCUGUGCGGAUGACGGUACCGGCAUAAGAAGCACCGGCUAACUACGUGCCAGCAGCCGCGGUAAUACGUAGGGUGCGAGCGUUAAUCGGAAUUACUGGGCGUAAAGCGUGCGCAGGCGGUUUUGUAAGGCAGGCGUGAAAUCCCCGGGCUCAACCUGGGAACUGCGCUUGUGACUGCAAGGCUAGAGUACGGCAGAGGGGGGUGGAAUUCCACGUGUAGCAGUGAAAUGCGUAGAGAUGUGGAGGAACACCAAUGGCGAAGGCAGCCCCCUGGGUCGAUACUGACGCUCAUGCACGAAAGCGUGGGUAUCAAACAGGAUUAGAUACCCUGGUAGUCCACGCCCUAAACGAUGUCAACUAGGUGUUGGGUGGGUAAAACCAUUUAGUACCGGAGCUAACGCGUGAAGUUGACCGCCUGGGGAGUACGGCCGCAAGGUUAAAACUCAAAGGAAUUGACGGGGACCCGCACAAGCGGUGGAUGAUGUGGAUUAAUUCGAUGCAACGCGAAAAACCUUACCUACCCUUGACAUGUCCAGGAGCCUGAAGAGAUUUGGGUGUGCCCGAAAGGGAACUGGAACACAGGUGCUGCAUGGCUGUCGUCAGCUCGUGUCGUGAGAUGUUGGGUUAAGUCCCGCAACGAGCGCAACCCUUGUCGUUAAUUGCCAUCAUUUAGUUGGGCACUUUAACGAGACUGCCGGUGACAAACCGGAGGAAGGUGGGGAUGACGUCAAGUCCUCAUGGCCCUUAUGGGUAGGGCUUCACACGUCAUACAAUGGUCGGUACAAAGGGUCGCCAACCCGCGAGGGGGAGCCAAUCCCAGAAAGCCGAUCGUAGUCCGGAUCGUAGGCUGCAACUCGCCUGCGUGAAGUCGGAAUCGCUAGUAAUCGUGGAUCAGCAUGUCACGGUGAAUACGUUCCCGGGUCUUGUACACACCGCCCGUCACACCAUGGGAGCGGGUUCCGCCAGAAGUAGGUAGCCUAACCGCAAGGGGGGCGCUUACCACGG